AGAGUUUGAUCCUGGCUCAGGAUGAACGCUGGCGGCGUGCCUAACACAUGCAAGUCGAACGAAGCACCUUUUGAGAUUCUUCGGAUGAUCGAUCGGUGACUGAGUGGCGGACGGGUGAGUAACGCGGGGGUAACCUGCCCUGUACAGGGGGAUAACAGCUGGAAACGGCUGCUAAUACCGCAUAAGCGCACGAGGAGACAUCUCUUUGUGUGAAAAACUCCGGUGGUACAGGAUGGGCCCGCGUCUGAUUAGCUGGUUGGCAGGGUAACGGCCUACCAAGGCGACGAUCAGUAGCCGGUCUGAGAGGAUGAACGGCCACAUUGGAACUGAGACACGGUCCAAACUCCUACGGGAGGCAGCAGUGGGGAAUAUUGCACAAUGGGGGAAACCCUGAUGCAGCAACGCCGCGUGAGUGAAGAAGUAUUUCGGUAUGUAAAGCUCUAUCAGCAGGGGAGAUAAUGACGGUACCUGACUAAGAAGCUCCGGCUAAAUACGUGCCAGCAGCCGCGGUAAUACGUAUGGAGCAAGCGUUAUCCGGAUUUACUGGGUGUAAAGGGUGCGUAGGUGGCAGUGCAAGUCAGAUGUGAAAGGCCGGGGCUCAACCCCGGAGCUGCAUUUGAAACUGCUCGGCUAGAGUACAGGAGAGGCAGGCGGAAUUCCUAGUGUAGCGGUGAAAUGCGUAGAUAUUAGGAGGAACACCAGUGGCGAAGGCGGCCUGCUGGACUGUUACUGACACUGAGGCACGAAAGCGUGGGGAGCAAACAGGAUUAGAUACCCUGGUAGUCCACGCCGUAAACGAUGAAUACU
rnacentral:rRNA from 1 species